AAACUCUCUCCUUAAUGAAAUCCCUACCAAUCUUUUAAAAUUAAUCCAUAGCAUUUUUAUAUACCUUCAAAGUGGCUGAAAAGCUAAGAAUCACAAAACUAGACUAACAGUCCUUAGCGAGACCUGAAUAAAUUGUCUGGCACACAUUGAUUUCAGGUUUCUCUUGGAAAUCUGGGGCAACAAAAAACAUCCAUUCUGUAUCCUACUAUCUAGUCAAUACUAGUUUUAUCCUCAUGAUCUUAUGAGGUAUGUACUGUCAUUAUCCCAAUUUCCAGGUCAAGUAAGUGAAGUGAAGCAUGGAGAGAUAAACUAACUUACUCAAGGCCACAUGGUUAGUGAGGAAAUUAGGAUUGGAACACACGUGCUUUGAUUCCCAUAACUGAUCUUAAACACUGUGCAAUGCUACCUCUCAAAACAGUGUACACAUAUGCACACAUGUUUGAACAGGUUUUAGUGACUAGAUGUAGAAGAUAAAGGUGACUGGCAUUUUAAGCUGUACAAGAAACAGGGUGAUGCUAUAAACCAAAAAUAAAAGUUAUUUGGUAGCAUCAUUUGAGUUAUGCUGAGCAGAACAUGCGUGAACAAUAAUAUAUUGGAAAAUCAGUUCCAAAGAACUCCAAAGAAAGAUUAAAACUAGGAUUGUAGACAUGGAAGCUUUGUAAUAGAUACAGGUUUGUGAGAUGACUAAGUAGAAAACUCUAAAAGAGAAAGCCAAGAGCACGUGAGCAGAAACUCAAUAAGUUCCCUACAUUUAGGGGGAUAUGUAGGAAGAAAGACCAGUGAAUGAAACCAAGAUUUACGUACAAACUCGCAGCCUUAAAACUAAAUUUGACUUGCAGAUGUGUUUUGAAUGACAGGCAAAUUCAUUUUAAAAUAGGUGAUUCGAUAUUUAAAAAGACCAGAAAACGUAGGAACACUGGACCCAUGUUCCUGUGUGGGAACAAAUGGCCACAUUGAAUGAACUCUUACUUCUUUAGGUAGGGCAGGUGCUUUCUGGUCGGUCAUGGUCCCUACCACUCCCUCGUGUUUUGCCUGCUGAGACUUCACCUACUUACUCCUGUGUGUCGCCUGCUUGGUCCUUAGGGACUUGUAUUUGUGAUUCCUGCUUUAGAAAGGUGGAAAAGAAAAGAGAACUCAGAUAUAAAAUUCCUGAGAAGGAUGGCUUUCAAGAAGAAAAGAUAAUCACUCUCUCACCUGCUGCUUAAACAAAGAAAAAAAUGGAGGACUCGUGAAGGAAUUUAGAUUUAGAACUUGGUAAUUUGGGAAAAAAAUAGAAAACACAUUCAGUGGAAAGAGAUUGGAAUGUAUGUUGGCGGUAAGAAACAAAUGGAAAGUAAGGAAAAUUUUUUCAAGUUUUAUAUUGAAGCAAACAAAAUGGCUAAUCAAUUUUUUUCUCUAUCAAUGGAAUGUUUAUAAAGUCUUCUUUGACUCUGCAAAAUACAUUAUCUCUCCUGGGCAUCAACCUGUGUCAUUUGCCUAUCGAUGAAUCUUAUUCAAUCUCAAUCUCUCACAUUUUAGGUCAGGUCCAAUGUAAUCAUGGUAGGAAGGAUUCUAAUCCAUGAGAGUUAUUAAUAUUGAAAUGAGGGCUGGGUGCGGUGGCUCAUGCCUGUAAUCCCAGCAUUUUGGGAGGCCGAGGCGGGCGGAUAACGAGGUCGGGAGAUCAAGACCAUCCUGGCCAACAUGGUGAAACCCCACCUCUACUAAAAAUACAAAAAUUAGCUGGGUGUGGUGGUGUGUGCCUGUAAUCUCAGCUACUUGGGAGGCUGAGGCAGGAGAAUCACUUGAACCAGGGAGUCGGAGGUUGCAGUGAGCUGGAAUCACAUCACUGUACUCCAGCCUGGUGAGAGAGAGACUGUCUCAAAAGAUAAAAAAUAAUCGAAAUGAAAUCAAAUACCUGGAAAUUUGCUUUCGCAUAAAACUUGCAAAGAAUAUUUAAAUAAUUGUACUGAUAGAUACUUCUGAAAGUAACUGUUUUAACUCAUUGAAUUUUUUUUCUAUUGUCAAGUCUUAAUUUAUCUUUCUCCCUCUCAACCUCUCUCUCCACCUCUCCCUCACACACACUCUUACUUACACACAUAGCAUAUUUAUAUUAUGCAUUCUUUGUUAUAAUUCUUUGACAUUUUAACAUCUCUGAAAUUAGGGAGUGUCUUACAACUGGUGACACAGAAUUACAUAACUAUAAUAUAUUUAUAGCUUUCUUAUGUAGUUCAUUUUCUAGAAAUAUAUGGAAGGAAAGUGUCUGUGACUAUAUUAUGAAUAAUUUCCAUCUCCUGGGCCCAGAGGGAGAUCGAAUAUGAAGGGAAAAUCUGAUGAAAUAUGUGUAUUUAAUCAAUUUUCAAACAGUUUGAAGUGGCUCAAUUUUAAAUGGCUGAUUGAUAAUGGUAGUUAUUUCCAAGUUGGAAUAAAUAACUGCCUGUUGGCUUCAGAGACAAUAGUGAUGCUCAGUCUGAGAUACUGUAUUUGCUUUUUUUCUAUUACAAAAAUGACAGGCCAGAGAAACUUGGGGGGAAAAAUUCUUCUGCUAUUUUAAGAUGCUGUCCCUCUCACUGUUUUUGUGCCAUCAUUAAUCAACUGUCUGCAUAUGAAGAAGAAAGGAAAAAAAGCCUGUAGACCACUUAAUGUGCCUUACUUUAGCACAGUGCAAAGAACUCAGACUUCCUGUAUGUCUACCUUUGUGAGCAUAUCCACAUAAUAAAUGUGUCUUGGAACCUCAGCCUGAUAUUUUUCAAAUCUUGAAAAAUCAUUGAAAUUGCCUAUGUAUUCCCACAAGGAUAAUGUGUGUUAGCUAUUACCAGGAAAAUAUGUUUUAUUACACAAUAGAAUCUGAAAAUAUCCACUGUAUAUUUCAAGUGUAUGUUACUAAAUUUUAAUUUAAAUUUAGCAGAAUGAAAAAUGAUGGUGGUAGAAUGUUCAUAUAUAGUGUACAUAGAAGUUUGCAUUUCAAAGA
rnacentral:lncRNA from 1 species